AUCUAACUGAUGAGUCCCAAAUAGGAUGAAAUAUACGUCUUGGUU
rnacentral:hammerhead_ribozyme from 1 species